GUGCUUGCUUUGGCAGCACAUAUACUGAAAUUGGAACGAUACAGAGAAGAUUAGCAUGACCCCUGCACAAGGAUGACCCAAACCUUCUCUACAAAUGAUACUUAAAG